AAUACACAAUAAGCUAAUAAUAAAAAGCAGCAUAAACUAUUUGCAGUACAGUACAUUGUUGCUAGAUUCUAUCAAACUACACUCAACGCACAAAAAUGGAGAACAACGAAGCACCCGCACCUUCCGGCUCCAACAAUAAUGAUUUUCCCAUACUUCCGCCACCGCCGAAUGCCGCCUCCACGUCCAACUACCACCACAACUACGACAACAACAACAGCAACAACAAUGCCGCCCAGAAGCGCCUGCAGCAGACACAGGCCAAAGUAGAUGAAGUCGUGGGCAUAAUGCGCGUCAACGUUGAGAAGGUGCUGGAACGUGAUCAGAAACUAUCGGAGCUCGGCGAGCGUGCCGAUCAAUUGGAACAGGGAGCCUCACAGUUCGAACAGCAGGCUGGCAAGCUGAAACGCAAGCAAUGGUGGGCCAACAUGAAAAUGAUGAUCAUACUGGGCGUAAUUGCGGUCGUCUUGCUCAUCAUUAUAAUAGUGUCACUUUUCAAUUGAGCAAUGCAACAAGGCAACUUGUUGAGUAUAGAUAAAAACGCAGCUGCAACUACAAACAAACAAACAAACACACACACACGCACACACAGACACAGAACAUUAAUAGAUAGACACACACUGUUAUGCGUGCUAUGUAUUAUUAUAAACAAAACGAAUAAUUUAGUUUAAGCAAUUUCCAAAAGGUAAAAACUUGCUGCGUGCUUCAUGUGUUAAUUAGUUGUUUACUUGUAAGUUUACGAUUUCAUUUUUGCCAGCUGGCAGCAGCAGCGAUCAUGGCGCAAAAGCUAUAACCGAGUCGCCCAAGUAAAUGGAAAAGGAAGCUGAAGUAGAAGAGCUGGCUGCUGCUGUUAUUAACCAAGUUGCCUUCAUAUUGGCCUUAUACAAGAAUUCAACAUAAAAUGGAUUAAAGGAAACUGUGUCUAAAAUAUUAUUAAAUAACCAGCUUGUAAUUAUAAUUAACCUUAAAUGUUUAUAACAAACAAAAAUUGUACUGUCAAUGCAGCAACUAAAUUGCUGUGCAACCUUCUGUUGCAAGCUGCUGCGGCAUAAAGAAACGCACAUGUAAUUUGUUGUGUCUAUGUAUGUAAGGCAUUUUUGAAGCUGUAACUGUGUGUGUGUGUGUGUGCGUGUGUGUGACCUACAAACAAAACAAAAAAUGUAACUUAGCCAAGCUAGUAGCACACAUAUGCAUAUUUGUAUAAGUAUUAAACACACACACAAUUAUAAACUUGCUUAUAUGCACUAUUUUCUAAUGUUUUUGUGGCUAUAUAUAUACAUAUAUAUUUUGUAUUUAGCAUAUACAUUAAAGAAAAUUAUGUGAACGGCA